rnacentral:misc_RNA from 1 species
AACACUGUUAACCUGCGGUACCUGCGGAGGGAUCACUACCGAGUUUACAACUCCCAAACCCCUGUGAACAUACCACUUGUUGCCUCGGCGGAUCAGCCCGCUCCCGGUAAAACGGGACGGCCCGCCAGAGGACCCCUAAACUCUGUUUCUAUAUGUAACUUCUGAGUAAAACCAUAAAUAAAUCAAAACUUUCAACAAUGGAUCU